rnacentral:rRNA from 2 species
UUUGAGUGAGUGGCGAACUGGUGAGUAACACGUGGGAAACCUGCCCAGAAGCGGGGGAUAACACCUGGAAACAGAUGCUAAUACCGCAUAACAACUUGGACCGCAGGGUCCGAGUUUGAAAGAUGGCUUCGGCUAUCACUUUUGGAUGGUCCCGCGGCGUAUUAGCUAGAUGGUGGGGUAACGGCUCACCAUGGCAAUGAUACGUAGCCGACCUGAGAGGGUAAUCGGCCACAUUGGGACUGAAACACGGCCCAAACUCCUACGGGAGGCAGCAGUAGGGAAUCUUCCACAAUGGACGAAAGUCUGAUGGAGCAACGCCGCGUGAGUGAAGAAGGGUUUCGGCUCGUAAAACUCUGUUGUUAAAGAAGAACAUAUCUGAGAGUAACUGUUCAGGUAUUGACGGUAUUUAACCAGAAAGCCACGGCUAACUACGUGCCAGCAGCCGCGGUAAUACGUAGGUGGCAAGCGUUGUCCGGAUUUAUUGGGCGUAAAGCGAGCGCAGGCGGUUUUUUAGUCUGAUGU